GACGGGGGUGGCGAGCGUUGCCCGGAAUUACUGGGCUUAAAGGGGGCGUAGGCGGCUGGGUGUGUUGGGUGUGUAAUCCGGCGGCUCAACCGCUGGGCUGCACCCGAUACUACCUGGCUAGGGGGCGCCAGGGGAAGGCGGAACUCCUGGUGUAGCGGUGAAAUGCGUAGAUAUCAGGGGGAACACCGGAGGCGAAGGCGGCCUUCUGGG
rnacentral:rRNA from 1 species